rnacentral:rRNA from 1 species
GCUGGAGGUAUCAGAAGUGCGAAUGCUGACGUGAGUAACGACAAAACGGGUGAAAAACCCGUUCGCCGAAAGACCAAGGGUUCCAGUCCAACGUUAAUCGGGGCUGGGUGAGUCGACCCCUAAGGCGAGGCCGAAAGGCGUAGUCGAUGGGAAAAUGGUUAAUAUUCCAUUACUUCUGUGUAAUGCGAUGAGAGGACGGAGAAGGCUAAAUCAGCCUGGCGUUGGUUGUCCAGGUGAAAGGAUGUAGGCAUGUAUCUUAGGCAAAUCCGGGGUACUCUAUGCUGAGAUCUGAUAGCAAGCUGUACUUGUACAGCGAAGUGGUUGAUGCCAUGCUUCCAGGAAAAGUCUCUAAGCUUCAGUUACACAGGAAUCGUACCCGAAACCGACACAGGUGGUCAGGUCGAGUAGACCAAGGCGCUUGAGAGAACUCUGCUGAAGGAACUAGGCAAAAUGGUACCGUAACUUCGGGAGAAGGUACGCUGUUGUUGGUGAUGGAACUCGCUUCCUGAGCUGACGACAGCCGCAGAAACCAGGCCGCUGCAACUGUUUAUUAAAAACAUAGCACUCUGCAAACACGAAAGUGGACGUAUAGGGUGUGAUGCCUGCCCGGUGCUGGAAGGUUAAUUGAUGGGGUUAGCGUAAGCGAAGCUCUUGAUCGAAGCCCCAGUAAACGGCGGCCGUAACUAUAACGGUCCUAAGGUAGCGAAAUUCCUUGUCGGGUAAGUUCCGACCUGCACGAAUGGCAUAAUGAUGGCGGCGCUGUCUCCAGCAGAGGCUCAGUGAAAUCGAAAUCGCUGUGAAGAUGCAGUGUACCCGCGGCUAGACGGAAAGACCCCGUGAACCUUUACUGCAGCUUGACACUGAACUUUGACCUUACUUGUGUAGGAUAGGUGGGAGGCUUUGAAGCUGGAACGCUAGUUCCAGUGGAGCCGUCCUUGAAAUACCACCCUGGUAAUGUUGAGGUUCUAACUCUGUCCCGUGAUCCGGGACGAGGACCGUGUCUGGUGGGUAGUUUGACUGGGGCGGUCUCCUCCUAAAGAGUAACGGAGGAGUACGAAGGUGCGCUCAGCGUGGUCGGAAAUCACGCGUAGAGUAUAAAGGCAAAAGCGCGCUUAACUGCGAGACCCACAAGUCGAGCAGGUACGAAAGUAGGUCUUAGUGAUCCGGUGGUUCUGUAUGGAAGGGCCAUCGCUCAACGGAUAAAAGGUACUCUGGGGAUAACAGGCUGAUACCGCCCAAGAGUUCAUAUCGACGGCGGUGUUUGGCACCUCGAUGUCGGCUCAUCUCAUCCUGGGGCUGAAGCAGGUCCCAAGGGUAUGGCUGUUCGCCAUUUAAAGAGGUACGCGAGCUGGGUUUAGAACGUCGUGAGACAGUUCGGUCCCUAUCUACCGUGGGCGCUGGAAAUUUGAGAGGAUCUGCUCCUAGUACGAGAGGACCAGAGUGGACGAACCUCUGGUGUACCGGUUGUGACGCCAGUCGCAUCGCCGGGUAGCUAUGUUCGGAAGGGAUAACCGCUGAAAGCAUCUAAGCGGGAAGCCUACCUCAAGAUAAGAUUUCCCUAGGACUUUAUGUCCUCUAAAGAGCCGUUCGAGACUAGGACGUUGAUAGGUUGGAUGUGGAAGCAUAGUGAUAUGUGAAGCUGACCAAUACUAAUUGCUCGUGAGGCUUGACUAUACAACACCCAAGCAGUUG